GUUCUAGGCCUUGCAUGAUGUUUGCUCAUAAUCUUUAGCUAUGAUGGUUCUCCUAAUCUAAGAGGAAUCCUAUGACAACACACAGGGGAGAAAAAGGAGCUCUCCAACUCAUCGGGAAGAAAGAGGACUAUCUGCUCUGUUCCACAGAGGGAUUAGGAUGGGAGGUUUUCCAUGCCAUGAAGGAAAGCAAAAGUGACCCGGAUGUUUUCUCUGAGCAAUUCAGAACAACAGAAAGUUGGCUGACGGUGGGAGUCACAAUGAUGAGGGGAUGAGGAAGAAGAAUUGAAGCCACCAAAAUUCUUUUCAAAUCCCAGAGAUGAUAACAUUUUAUUUUGAGGCUGAUAAAGAAAAGAUGGCCUCUCCCAUCUGGCUUUAUGAUAUGGAAACAUUGUUAAUGAG
rnacentral:lncRNA from 1 species